rnacentral:rRNA from 2 species
GACGGGGACCCGCACAAGCGGUGGAUGAUGUGGAUUAAUUCGAUGCAACGCGAAAACCUUACCUACCCUUGACAUGUCUGGAAGGCCGAAGAGAUUUGGCUGUGCUCGCAAGAGAACCGGAACACAGGUGCUGCAUGGCUGUCGUCAGCUCGUGUCGUGAGAUGUUGGGUUAAGUCCCGCAACGAGCGCAACCCUUGUCAUUAGUUGCUACGAAAGGGCACUCUAAUGAGACUGCCGGUGACAAACCGGAGGAAGGUGGGGAUGACGUCAAGUCCUCAUGGCCCUUAUGGGUAGGGCUUCACACGUCAUACAAUGGUCGGGACAGAGGGUCGCCAACCCGCGAGGGGGAGCCAAUCCCAGAAACCCGAUCGUAGUCCGGAUUGCAGGCUGCAACUCGCCUGCAUGAAGUUGGGGUUGCUAGUAACCGCAGGUCAGCAAUACUGCGGUGAAUACGUUCCCGGGGAUU